rnacentral:rRNA from 1 species
CAGGUGGAGCGGUGAAAUGUGUUGAUAUCUGGAAGAACGCCGAAAGCGAAAGCAGCUAACUACAAUAAACCUGACGGUCAGGGACGAAAGCUUGGGGAGCAAAUGGGAUUAGAUACCCCAGUAGUCCAAGCCGUAAAUUAUGUUCGCUAGGUGUCUUUGCGUAUGCAGGGGUGCCGUAACCUAACGGGAUUAAGCGAACCGCCUGGGUAGUAUAUUCGCAAGAAUGAAACUCAAAGGGAUAGGCGGGGGAACACACAAGCAGUGGAUGAUCUCGAUUAAUUGGAUACGAAGCCAGCAAUCUUACCUAGACUUGACAUGUAUUGUGUCUACGAUGAAAGUCGUAUAGCUGUAGCAAUACAGCGCUUUACACAGGUGGUGCAUGGUCGUCGUCAGCUCGUGCCGCAAGGUGUCUAGUUAAUUCUAGGAACGAGCGCAACCCUCGUCGUUAGUUAUUUGUGUCUAACGAGACUGCCUUGGCAACAGGGAGGAAGGAGAGGAUGACGUCAGAUCCUCAUGCCCCUUACGUCUAGGGCUUCAGAGGUCAUACAAUGGGUAGUACAGCGAGAAGCAAUAUCGUGAGAUGGAGCAAAUCUUUAAAGCUACCCCUAGUUCGGAUUGUAGUCUGGAAUUCGACUACAUGAAGUUGGAAUUGCUAGUAAUGGCGGAUCAGAAUGCCGCCGUGAAUAUGUCCCUGUUCCUUGCACUCACCGCCCGUCAAACCAUGGGAGUUGAGGCUCUCUGAAGAUCCGUUCGCGGGUUAAGGAGGGAAUCAAUGACUGGGGUUAAGUCGUAACAAGGUAACCAAGGG